rnacentral:rRNA from 1 species
GAUGAACGCUAGCGGCAGGCCUAACACAUGCCAGUCGAGGGAGAAGCCCUUUCGGGGGCAGAAACCGGCGCACGGGUGCGUAACGCGUAUGCAACCUACCUUUCACAGGGGGAUAGCCCGAAGAAAUUUGGAUUAAUACCCCAUAAUAUUAUUGGAUGGCAUCAUUUGAUAAUUAAAACUGCGGUGGUGAAAGAUGGGCAUGCGUCCUAUUAGCUAGUUGGAGUGGUAACGGCACCCCAAGGCUACGAUAGGUAGGGGUCCUGAGAGGGAGAUCCCCCACACUGGUACUGAGACAGGGACCAGACUCCUACGGGAGGCAGCAGUGAGGAAUAUUGGUCAAUGGUCGGAAGACUGAACCAGCCAUGCCGCGUGCAGGAAGAAUGCCUUAUGGGUUGUAAACUGCUUUUAUAUGGGAAGAAUAAGGCGUACGUGUACGUUGAUGACGGUACCAUAUGAAUAAGCAUCGGCUAACUCCGUG